GGGGACGUUACGGAUUCGACAGGGAUGGUUCAAGCUUGAGCUGCGCGUCGGAGGUCUCGGCUCCGUCAUCAACGGAAGUUAUAUAAUAACUGGCAAACAACAAAAUUUAGCUUACGCAGCUUAGUCUCGUAGCGCUCCGCCUCUCUAUCGCCCAUGUAGAGAACGUGGGGCUCAACUUUAGUGGGAUACGGUCGGUGGUGCCGCUUGAGUCACCGUCAAGAGAUUUCCAAGCUAGCGUGCAGGACGCCUGUUUGUCGGCAUAAUGACACGCGAAUUGUAAAUAGGCAAACUACACGCGUAGAAGCUUGAGUAUUGGAGUUUCUGGACGCGGGUUCGACUCCCGCCGUCUCCAUAC
rnacentral:tmRNA from 1 species